CUACGGGCGGCUCCAGUGGGGAAUAUUGCACAAUGGGCGCAAGCCUGAUGCAGCAACGCCGCGUGAGGGAUGAAGGCCUUCGGGUUGUAAACCUCUUUUAGCAGGGAAGAAGCGAAAGUGACGGUACCUGCAGAAAAAGCACCGGCUAACUACGUGCCAGCAGCCGCGGUAAUACGUAGGGUGCAAGCGUUGUCCGGAAUUAUUGGGCGUAAAGAGCUCGUAGGCGGUUUGUCACGUCUGCUGUGAAAAUCCAAGGCUCAACCUCGGACUUGCAGUGGGUACGGGCAGGCUAGAGUGCGGUAGGGGAGAUGGGAAUUCCUGGUGUAGCGGUGGAAUGCGCAGAUAUCAGGAGGAACACCAAUGGCGAAGGCACAUCUCUGGGCCGUAACUGACGCUGAGGAGCGAAAGCGUGGGGAGCGAACAGGAUUAGAUACCCGCGUAGUC
rnacentral:rRNA from 1 species